rnacentral:rRNA from 1 species
ACUCUUAAGGCUGAGACACGACGUCGAGCUACUACGGUAGUGAAGUCAUUGAUGCCAUGCUUCCAGGAAAAGCCUCUAAGCUUCAGAUUGUAAGGAAUCGUACCCCAAACCGACACAGGUGGUCGGGUAGAGAAUACCAAGGCGCUUGAGAGAACUCGGGUGAAGGAACUAGGCAAAAUGGUACCGUAACUUCGGGAGAAGGUACGCUCUUGAUGGUGAAGUCCCUUGCGGAUGGAGCUGACGAGAGUCGCAGAUACCAGGUGGCUGCAACUGUUUAUUAAAAACACAGCACUGUGCAAAAUCGUAAGAUGACGUAUACGGUGUGACGCCUGCCCGGUGCCGGAAGGUUAAUUGAUGGGGUUAGCGUAAGCGAAGCUCUUGAUCGAAGCCCCGGUAAACGGCGGCCGUAACUAUAACGGUCCUAAGGUAGCGAAAUUCCUUGUCGGGUAAGUUCCGACCUGCACGAAUGGCGUAAUGAUGGCCACGCUGUCUCCACCCGAGACUCAGUGAAAUUGAAAUCGCUGUGAAGAUGCAGUGUACCCGCGGCUAGACGGAAAGACCCCGUGAACCUUUACUACAGCUUGGCACUGAACAUUGAACCUACAUGUGUAGGAUAGGUGGGAGGCUUUGAAGACGUGACGCCAGUUGCGUUGGAGCCGUCCUUGAAAUACCACCCUUGUAUGUUUGAUGUUCUAACGUUGGCCCCUAAUCGGGGUUGCGGACAGUGCCUGGUGGGUAGUUUGACUGGGGCGGUCUCCUCCCAAAGAGUAACGGAGGAGCACGAAGGUGGGCUAAUCACGGUUGGACAUCGUGAGGUUAGUGCAAUGGCAUAAGCCCGCUUAACUGCGAGAAUGACGGUUCGAGCAGGUGCGAAAGCAGGUCAUAGUGAUCCGGUGGUUCUGAAUGGAAGGGCCAUCGCUCAACGGAUAAAAGGUACUCCGGGGAUAACAGGCUGAUACCGCCCAAGAGUUCAUAUCGACGGCGGUGUUUGGCACCUCGAUGUCGGCUCAUCACAUCCUGGGGCUGAAGUCGGUCCCAAGGGUAUGGCUGUUCGCCAUUUAAAGUGGUACGCGAGCUGGGUUUAGAACGUCGUGAGACAGUUCGGUCCCUAUCUGCCGUGGGCGUUGGAAGAUUGAAGGGGGCUGCUCCUAGUACGAGAGGACCGGAGUGGACGAACCUCUGGUGUUCGGGUUGUGUCGCCAGACGCAUUGCCCGGUAGCUAAGUUCGGAAUCGAUAACCGCUGAAAGCAUCUAAGCGGGAAGCGAGCCCUGAGAUGAGUCUUCCCUGAUACUUUAAGUAUCCUAAAGGGUUGUUCGAGACUAGAACGUUGAUAGGCAGGGUGUGUAAGCGCUGUGAGGCGUUGAGCUAACCUGUACUAAUUGCCCGUGAGGCUUAACCAU